CUGUAAUGUACUGUAUGCGUUCGGCGACGCGACGCGCACGGCGCACCAUUCCGCGGCCACGAAGAGCACAAUCCUGUUCGCCACGCCAUGCCUCUCCACGCCCGCGCACCGCCGCUCCGCCACUCCCACCUUCUACUCACCGCCGCCACCGCUCGGCUCCGCCCGUGCGCAGCGCCAGCGACCAAGCCCCGCCGCCGCUCCCUCGUCCUCGUCCGCGCCUCCAGCUCGGACCCUCCGCAGCAGCAGCUCAACCUCUCCGUGCUCCGCUUCACCCUCGGGAUUCCGGGGCUGGACGAAUCGUACCUCCCCCGGUGGAUAGGCCUCGGUUUCGGCGCGCUCGUCGUGCUCAACCACCUCCUCUCUGCGUCCCCGACGCCCGCGCAGCUCAGGUCCGAGGCUGUGGGGCUGUGCCUGGCCGCGUUCUCGGCGACGCUGCCGUUCCUGGGGAGGUUCCUUGAGGGCGCUGAUGCUGCCAGCCGAGUGCCGUUGCCCGAGGGGAGCAUCCAAGUAUUCGUCAUGUCUGAGAACCUGUCAGCUGUGCAGAAGGAGGACAUGGCGUGGGCGUCGUACGUCCUGCUCCGGAACACAAACACCACGUCUGUGGUCAUAGCAAUUGGGGAUCUCUUGUGCGUACGAGGAUACUGGAAUCCACCUGCAAAUACUUCAAAAUAUUCCACGAUCGAGUGGUUCAAAAGUCAGAUGCAGCAACUAGGACUUGUUGAUUUGAGGGGUGCUUUAUACUUCCCUAAUUCGUCAGGAAAGUUUCUCUUACGCUGUCAAUCAUGCUACUCUGACCAGAUUCUCAGCUUGCGAAGAUUCUGCCAGAUGGGAUUCUUUCUGUGCUAGCGCAACCUAUUCUGAGUCCUGAUCCAGCUAAUAAUGAAACAAAAACUGAAGGUGUCAUCCUGUUGGCCUGCAAUGCAAAUUAUGCAUAUAGUGAGAAAGAUAGGGCUUGGAUAAGAACAGUUGCAGACAAAUUUCAACGUGCUUAAUUUAGAGGUACCAAAGAAAUGUUGACAGUCAGGCAGUACUGGAAAAUGGACCGGGAAAGAUUGGGGAGUGUAAAGUAGACUGACUGGUCCAAGAAGGAUUUGGAGUCUUGGCAACGUGGACUGAGCAGAAUAAGAGAGUUUUGCAGUUGGGAGGAAAUCAGCAUUAAGCUACUGUUUAUUAGGGUUGGCGCUAGUUGAAGCAAAAUAGUCCAGCAAUAGUUUGUUCAGUUGGCUAGAGACUAUGUGGUGAUGUGUUUGGUUUGUCUCUGUGCCUCUUGCUUUGGUAUGUAUGUCUGAUUGGAUUUGGCAUUGAAGCAGAAAGGCUGCUCCAGAGAUUAGUGACAUGUGCAAAGUAGCAAUGCUGUCAUAAUUUACGCAUACUCCAGCCCAAUUGAGGCAGUUGAUCACCUGGCUGCAUUUAUAUAAGCAGUAAAAGCAUUUUUAGUUCAAAGUGUUGUCACAUUUAAGAUUGCAAAUACUGCUGAUCAAUCACAUUCCUUCAUAUA